UUUUAUCGUUUCCUUACGAAGAACCGCCACCAAAUAGAGAAUUAAUGAUAGAAUGAACUUUACCAGAACAAGUCAUGAAUGAAAUUGAGUGAAGCAACGAAGGAAUCCUUCAAAAUUUAAUCAAAUUCUGGACUGCGGACAGAAUCACAACAGACCAGCAAGUUUCGGUCCAUGCUGGCAAGAUUUACACAGAACUAGGACGAGGAAGGAAAAACAAAAGUUUUUCCUUAGACUUUUAUCAUUUUCUUAUGAAAAAAACGCCACAAUAGUAUAUUAUGCAACAAGUGCGGUAAACGGCAUUUGACUCACGAGUUUAUUUGACACGAGCGGAGCGAGUUUUUAAUAAACGAGUGAGUUAAAAAGUUUACCGAACGUGUUGCAUACUAUACUUUUUCUACGACCAUUAGUUUUCAGGUACAUUUUCGCAAAACAACACGAAUACAUUCACUGACAUGACCGUCAGAAUUGACAAACGUCAAAAUUCAAACCGUGGGAAAUAUCUCCGAAAACAUCCGAUUGCUCCCAAAUCCGUGCCGUAAAAUCCCGGAAAUGUCAGAAGUGGCUCGGAUUCGUGGGAAACGAAACUGACGUGACGGGAGUAGAAAAAUAUAAUAGCAUAUUAUGCAAGAAGUGCGAUAAACGGCAUUGGACGAAUGACUUAAAAAGUUUACCGAACAUGUUACAUACGACCGUUAGUUUUUGGGUACAUUUUCGCAAAACAACACGAAUACAUCCAGUGACAUGACCGUCAUAAUUGACAAACGUCAAAAUUCAAAGCGUGGGGAAUAUCUCCGAAAACAUCCGUGCAGUAAAAUCCCGGAAAUGUCCGAUGUGGCUCGGAUUCGUGGGAAACGAAACUGACGAGACGGGAGUAGAAAAAAAUCAAUGAUAAACUUAUCAGAAAGCAAUGAAUAGUUUAAAAUUCAAUCAAAGUCUGGUCUAUGCAGAGCUUAAGUAACUUAAAACUAUGAUGAAUUUUUAAGAAAGAUGGCGAUAUAUCAAGUUUAAACACAACACACCACACAAUAAAAAAAAUAAACACAAAUAAACACAAUACACAGCAAAAUGCCACAUAGGUGCCAAAUAUUCCUCCGUACAAAAAGAUUUACAACCAUCAUCUGUAUGCAACAUAGAAUUAAGACUUUCCUCCAUUCUGGGUCUAAAUAACUUUUAGGUAAAUGAACCCAGAAACCAAAUGCAUAGUUCUUUGGCUACUUCUUAUAAAAGUUUGGUAUAUUCGUCAAAAUCUCCCUUCAAAUAAGGAGUAGAAGUCUGUGGGAGUUCCACCCUAUUUCGCGAGAAGUGUAGAGGUUUUAUACCUAGUUUUGGAAACAUAUGUCUGCUGUAACUGCCUUAACUGUGCUCUAACCUCUCGUUUAGACUUAAUGAAGAAACCAGGAAAAAAUGAAAGAAACUUGAAUAUAUUGAUCAUCUUGUGACAGAUCAUACUAACUGCUACUACGAAACUUGAUGACGGGAAAAAUAAAUAGAAGAAAAAGCCAAGCAAGGGGAAGAAUCUAGUAGAUGAAAAAAUUGUUAAACUUGCUUGAACUUGAACUCCAGCUGUUUACAACAGCUGCAAAUAAAAUCCGCCUAGUUAUGAUUGGAUUCAACCUUGGCUUGAAGACGGAACUAGAAGAAGCAGGAGGAACAUAAUUUAGUUUAUAAAAAAUGCUUCGCGAACGGACGUUAAAAGUUAAUGUAUUCAAAUCGAUCAAGAUGGUUUCGAAAAUAACCCGCUGCGUGUGUGUUUUUUUUUGUGUUUUACUUUCAUUACAGUUAAUAAUACCGAUAAAAAAUUAACAUUGUUUAUAUUACGGCGCAUAGCUAUUCUCAAGUCUUUAGGAUUAUGAUUACGAAUCUAUUCGAGCUUAAAUGACCCGAAAUACGUUACGGUGUUAUUAUUAGGCGUAAUAAUACGGUAGGUGGUCAUAUACUCCAGAUUGAACGGCGGAAUAUAAAGACGCGCGACUCUCGGUAAUUUCGAUCACAAAAUAAACACGCUUGGUCGUUAACGGGCAUUAUACCGAGCCUUAUAUCCAAAGGUAACUAGUUUUUUAAAAUAAUGCUGAAAAUUUCUACUACCGGAUAUCAUUUCCUUGACUUUGUUAUCGUGAUUGGUUUCCUGCGAAGGAUGUCCUCUCCAAUUGGGACUUUCGAGUUACGCAAGUUGGGGUGACUGGCACUAUCUGCCGGUAUUUACCCUCAAGCGAAAAUUCCAUUUAAAACAGGGCAGGCUUCAAUUCCGCACCCUAAGAUUAUCCAACCAAAUUAUUAUCCUCCGGUAGGGGGAUGCUGGGAACUCCAAUAAGUGGGCAUUUGGAAAUUGGAAGUAAAUUAUCAGUUUGUCUCCGAUAUUAUUUGACGAGAAUAAAAGCCUCAUCUAUAACCUGUGGUAAUGGAAACCCGGUAACAAUGACGGUUAACUUUUAAACAUACACCAUGUCUAGAUGGGGUAGACAACUGGACU